UCGAUCGCCAGUGACGUCAGAAACAUUGCCCGAUUACAACGUGGAGUCUGCACAGAACUCUGACCAUGUAACACAGGGUACGAUGGGGAUCCUCGGGACCACGGACAGGGGUGGGGGAACUACCCCACACACUACCACCCCCGGGUCAGCGCUGGACACCGACCAACCGUGGUAUAAAGAUAAGAACCUCCUGGUAACCAUAGGCUAUGUCGCCGGGAUCAUCACAUUUGUCGCCUUUUUGAUUCUCAUACUUGUUCUCUGUCGCUCAUGGAAGAAGCGAAGAAAAUGGAAAAGUGAAUGGGACGAAUCCAACCAUAUACUGGAAUCCAAAUCAGCUCCCAUCUCAAGAAAUCCUUCCCCUAAACCAGUAAAGCGAAAGUCGUGUCCGGACGUUUCGCCGGAUGCGCGUGGAAUUGUCGUCCGGUCCAUGACGAUUGACAAUGUUCCCGAAUUUUCCCUUCCACCCGAGAGAAUUCAGCCCCGGAGUGGAUACGACAGCAUUCAGAGCCCCACAAAACAACAUUCAGCACACAGCUUUGUGGGCCACGUGCAGCCAGAUCUCUACAAGUACACACACUGCUCCGAUGAGGAGUCAUUGUAUCUAGCGCCCAGUGCUCACGGAAGACUCUGGUUUUCCGUGCUGCAUGACGUCGCUGUGGAACAAGUUCACGUGACUUUGGUUAAAGUUCGGGAACUGCCGGAGGGAGAGAUAAUAGUCCUAGAGACCCCUUUGUUAAGAUGUUUCUCCUUCCAGACGAACGCUGCUGCAAAAUCUCCAAAGUCAGACGGAAAACCCUUUCCCCGGUUUACAAUGAAACAUUUACUUUUCAGGUUUCUUCAGACAAUAUGAAGAACCGAGUGCUGCGUUUCUCUGUGUAUGACGUAGACAAGCGAAGGGUACGUCAUUCCCUGGGUCAUAUUUUGGUUCCUCUGCAAGACCUUGACCUUACAAAGGGCGACGUCAUGUACAGAGAUUUAGAGCCCAAUUCACAGGUUUACUCAUCCAUGGGGGAAGUAAAUAUAGGCAUUACGUACAUGCCUAGUGUUGAAAAAAUAAAAGUGGUCAUCAUAAAAGCUAGAAAUCUUCGACAGAUCGACAUUGAUCAAAACAGGCAUGUCUUUGUGCGCUUACAGAUGUUACACGGUCGUAAAGUUUGCAAGACUAAGAAUACGAUGCAGCAGAGAGCCUCCACUGAGCCAACCUUUAACGAGUCCUUCUCGUUCUCUGUGUCGGGGAAGCUGGUCGACACAUGUAGUUUUGAAAUCUCUCUUAUGACUACAACUAAGACGCCGUUCAGUCAUGACGAAAUCUAUGGAAAGACUGUGAUUGGUUCAUUCAUGUUCGCGCGUGGCGAGGAACUUCUGCACUGGCAGGAGAUGGUGAACCACCCCCGGACGUCCGUGGUCAAAUGGCACCAAUUAUCGGGUUCUACCCACCACAGUUAGAAAUGAUCAAUUCAACCCCGUCACAAACAACACAAUCAAACCCGGGUGUCCUGCAAGUUUACAAACACGACACCAUUGUCCUUCCAAAGUUAUCGUUUUGAAAAGAAACAGUUUCGAAUUAAAUAUUAUAAUAGAUUGUUCUUCCUUUUAAUUUAAAAUACAGGUUACACAGAAUAUCUGUAAUAUAUUUAUUUAAAAUUUUGUGAGUAUUUGUACAAAAUUUGACAUUGUCUUAGUACAUUUAAAUAUAAUUUCAAUGAGGUGACAAGUGCAUGGAUACUCUGUACUCGAGAUGAUCAAGACAUUUUGUAACUAUCGAAUUAUGAUUAAUCAAGACUUGAUACAUAAAACGCAUCCGGUUUUUUUGGAACUUUUGUUUUUGUAAAUAAAGUUUUCCAUGAUAUUUCUAGCGUUUGCCUUUAGAAAGUCAGAAGAACUGUACAAAUGUUUAGUAUAUUACUAUAAACCUCAAUAGUCAGUUGAAUAUGACACCUUCAUUUUAAUUUCUCAUCAGUUGUUAAUCAUAAUUAAGGAUCUACCUGUCAUGAUUUGGCAAUUACAAAAUUGAUUUUUUGGGGGGAGGGGAUGUACAAUGGAUUUAAUCAAUCAAUUAUCAACAGAAAAUGUAAAACAAUGAAAAACAAUAAUUUG
rnacentral:misc_RNA from 1 species